CGGGUGAUACUAUGUCCGGUUUGGAAUUGAUGUAUUUUUUUUUACAAUUCCCCGUGUUACGUGACAUCAACGUUAAUAAGCACAAAAAAAAUGUAAUUGCUGAAAUCAUGGGCAUUAUAGAAAGUGCAUUACAUGUACAUUGUAUAUUACGAUAAUUAAAUUAUUUUGACCACUCUCUUUAUCAACAUGCUUUCAAAAUCAAAACUGAAUAUUAUAUGUUUCAAUAGAAUAAAACUGUAAAGACUGGG
rnacentral:lncRNA from 1 species